rnacentral:rRNA from 1 species
ACUCCUACGGGAGGCAGCAGUGGGGAAUAUUGCACAAUGGGGGAAACCCUGAUGCAGCCAUGCCGCGUGUGUGAAGAAGGCCUUCGGGUUGUAAAGCACUUUCAGUAGGGAGGAAGGUAGUGUAGUUAACACCUGCACUAUUUGACGUUACCUACAGAAGAAGCACCGGCUAACUCCGUGCCAGCAGCCGCGGUAAUACGGAGGGUGCGAGCGUUAAUCGGAAUUACUGGGCGUAAAGCGCAUGCAGGCGGCCUGUUAAGUCAGAUGUGAAAGCCCGGGGCUUAACCUCGGAAUUGCAUUUGAAACUGGCAGGCUAGAGUCUUGUAGAGGGGGGUAGAAUUUCAGGUGUAGCGGUGAAAUGCGUAGAGAUCUGAAGGAAUACCAGUGGCGAAGGCGGCCCCCUGGACAAAGACUGACGCUCAGAUGCGAAAGCGUGGGGAGCAAAACAGGAUUAGAUA